UAAUAGCGUAUACUUAAGUUGUUGCAGUUAAAAAGCUCGUAGUCGGAUGUCGGGCUUGGGCAGGCUGUCGGCUUUUGUCGGACGGCAGGCUCGGGCCUUUCUGCCUGGGGGCCGCGUCACACUUCACUGUGGGGCGUCGGGACGCAGGCCGUUUACUUUGAAAAAAUUAGAGUGUUCAAAGCAGGCCUACGCUUGAAUACAUUAGCAUGGAAUAAUGGAAUAGGACUUUGGUGCCAUUCUGUUGGUUUAUGGAACCGAAGUAAUGAUUAAUAGGGACAGUUGGGGCCGUUUAUAUUUCGUUGUCAGAGGUGAAAUUCUUGGAUUUACGAAAGACGAACUACUGCGAAAGCAUUUGCCAAGAAUGUUUUCAUUAA
rnacentral:rRNA from 1 species